UUUACGAAACCUGAGGCUGCCAUGCUGUGGGGAAGCCCAGGUCACAAGGAGAGGACACGUGUGGGUUCUCUGGCUGACACCACCAGCUGAGGUCCUUGCCGACAGCCAGACAUGUGAGUGAAGAUGCUUCCAGAUGAUUCUAGUCCCUAGCUGCUAAGUCACCCCCAGCCUUUGAGUUUUUCCAACUGAGUCUUUAGAGAGUGGGUAACAGAGUCAAGCCCGUUCCCUUUCCAAAUUCCCAACCCACAGAAUCCGUGCCUGAAAUAAAAUGGCUAUUUCAAGCCACUAAGUGUUGGAAUAAUUUGUUAUGCAGCAGUAGUAAUAAGAACACUGCCCUCAGACCUUCUGCUAGGACUCAUUCUUUUAAGAUUCUCAGCCACAGACAACUCUUUCUCCAGAGAUCUUAGGGGAAGAAAGCGUGUGCUUGGCACAGUUAAUAAGAUUUUUUUCUUCAUGAGUCUAGAUUCCCAGAGAUCAAAGAUGUUACAGCUAGAAAAGUUUCUAGAGCUGGCAUGUGUAGGGAAGAAAAACUGUUCCCUUCUUCCCUUCUAGGUUCUUUGGCUGGUCUAACAAUUAAACCAACAUAAAACAGAGUAACAGGAGAAAAAUUUAAUUUCAUAUGUACGGGAGUCCAUAAAAAUAUGACCCAACGAAGUGACCAAAGCAGGCAGCUUUUAUACCUUUUAGACAAAGAAACGAAACAUCUGUGAAGAAUUGACAAGACAGGAGUUUGGGCUUUGGACAGUAAAUUAGUGAAGAAGUAACAAGGUUUGUUUAGACAGCCUUCUCCACCCUGAGUUCCCUACCUCUGGUGAUAAGGAUGUCUCUCUACCUCCUUGUACAGGGAGGGUACAUUUUACAUGGGAGAUUUAUUCCCUGCUUUCAGGGGGAUAAAGAAGGGUCAGAGUGUCCUUGCUGUUUCUUAAGUAGAUUUAAUUCAAAAUAAUCUAUGUGCCAGAGCAGCCUACUUCGGGGUGACACUUUCUGCUCUCCAUCACAUGCUUGCCAACACGAGGGAGUCAUCGCCAGCAAUGCCGGCAGAGAGGGCAGAGGAAGGUGGUGAAGCCUCCCUCACCUGCCCUCACAGCCCUUCGGCUGAGUGAGCACGGAUCACAGCGGCUCGUGCAGAUGAAGAUGCCGAACACUGGAACAAUGUUGAGUCCACCUGGAUGGAUAGAAUUUCCCAUAAAGGAAGUGACGAACCCUGCAUUCAGUUGGCAAGAUAGUCCCCACAUUUUUUAGCCCCUGUUAUUCCUUUACUAUCUGCUACUUGCCCAGAAUCCCAUGUUUAAUGUCUAUUAUUUUGUUCAAUCCUCAUGAUCAGGGAUCAGAAGUAGUUUGUCAGCCUCAUUUUAGAGGUGUAGAAACUAAGGCUCAAAGACUAACCCAAGAGCACAUGUAUCUAAUUAAUGGUGAGGCUCUGACUUAAACCAUCUGAUUCCAAAUUCAGGUCUCCUGUUACUGUACUCUGAAAAGAAUCCCUGUUCUGGAGCAAAAAAUAAAAUAAAUAAAGUAAAAUAAAAUAAUUUUACGUGAUGUCGAAGGUUGUCAGGCAAGUGCUCGUUAAAGGUGUGGCGUUUCUCACUUUUUCAGACCAUUCCUAAGUACGAGAUCUCUGCACUUCCUUUGUACAAAGAAGUGAGUUUUCUGGUCUGAGUGUUGGCUUUGUGUGGACGUGAGAUGAAACCAGAGGUAGUUGGAAAUAUUUGCUGCUAUCUAUGUGCAAGUACUCCCCCCAGGACUGACUUUAAGCCACCAAGUUGACGUCACUGACCGUGGCAUUGAGCAGUGACAUGCACCUUCCAUGCUCCUGAGCCAGGACUAGCUAACUCCAGCCAUGGGUGGAACCAGUGCAGUUACAGGCUUCUUGGACCUCUUAGUUUUUCCCAGAGCAAUCAAAACAGCUUCCACUCCAAAAUUUCAAGUUAUCAAUGACAGAGAGAAAAACAAUGCCACUGUCCCUGAAGCCAGGAGGGCGGGCCUAUUUCUGAAGACCUCUUCUAUGAAGGGGGACCAUUCUGGAGUGGCGAGCAGCCCUCAGCUCCAGAGAACUCCUUGUAUCUUUCACCGGUAGCCCAACCGCAAUGACAAAGGCAUUGAAUGCUGAUGCCUCAGCAUGGCAUGACCAUCCUGCUCAGGUAGGGGUCGAGGUGGAGGGCGAUAUUGCAGGGCUGGGUAGGAGACAGACGGUCCCUGGAAAGGAAGCCUCAACCUUGCUCCAUAGGUCUGCCAUGCAGGCCUGGAGCUCAUGGGGUCCCCUUGGCUUCCACUCUUCUGGGACUAUGGAUAGAAAGAAACGUUGAAGGGAAGAAGGGGGGCCCAGUGACUGCCGUGACUCUUUCAAAGGGGUGGGAAUGCCCCGUCUCUCACCACCUGUCUCCCCAGUGCCUCCCUUCCCUUUGCCCUAGAUGUCUGGUAGCAUGGCCUUCUAUUCCUAUGGGAAAUCAGAUGGCGUAAGAUGGGUGAGGCCCUCAAGGGGGAGAUCUGGUCUAGCUGGAGAUAGAUAGACACCUGAGGGGUAUUGAUGUACAGGAGGCAGCUGACACCCAGAGAGCGGGUGAGCACCCCGUGUGAGGACAGACAGCUGGUGGGAUUUGUCCACAUUCCCCAGGAUUCAGCAGCUGGCCCGGUGCAGGUAGAGGCAGUCAGAAUGAACGUGAGGGUCCUUGAUCCGGGUCCUGCUCUUCUGUGCCCCCAUCUCCACACCUCCCCAGACAAACUGAACCCCUUGUAAUCCCUUCAACACCCAGACUUCUUGCACUUCGUCACUAUUCUCUUUCAGUAAAUGUACGAUCCCUCACUCUGUUCUACCCGUGUAACAUCUGCUGGCCGUUUGAGACCCAUCUAGGUUUCACCUCCCAAAGAAUCCUUUUCUGGACCCGGCCUCUCACCUCAACACACACACAGACACACACACACAGACACACGCACACACACACACACACACACACACACUCCACACCACCGUCGGAGCGGAUAUGGCCAGUUAAGGCCUUUCACCCUCUCAAUCCCCAUUUCCUCAUCUGUAAAACGAGGUGGUGGAUAAGCACUUGGGCUGUUCUAGAGUUCUGGGGAAGUCCAUGCCGUGAGCCUGUACCCACAUGGGUGCCAAGCAACCACACAGCCUCUCCAUUCUGUUCCAAGGAGAAGCGCCUCAGGUCAGAACAAUUUACUUGCAGGCACUUACAAUGCAGGCUUGCCUACAGAGCCUCCAAUUCCAUGCUGACCUUUUUUUUUUUUUUUUUUUUUUUUUUUUUUGCGGUACGCGGGCCUCUCACUGUUGGGGCCCCUCCCGUUGCGGAGCACAGGCUCCGGACGCGCAGGCUCAGCGGCCAUGGCUCACGGGCCCAGCCGCUCCGCGGCAUGUGGGAUCUUCCCGGACUGGGGCACGAACCCGUGUCCCCUGCAUCGGCAGGCGGACUCCCAACCACUGCGCCACCAGGCAAGCCCUGACAUUUUUGAUAAAGCCAGCUUAAUGGAGAAAAAUGCCUAUUCCCUAAACAAGACAGAUUUUGGUAGGAGUUGGGGUGGGUGGUGAGGGAACUUCUAUUUAUACAUCACAUUUCUCUAAUUCUGAGGAGUUCAAGCAUCCUUUUGGCCUUGCUUUACAUUUCCUACCCAUCUCAUUAAUAAAGAUUAAUGAAAUGACUAGAAUCUAUUGAGAAAAACAAAUCAAAAAUGACAAUUUUCAGUCCUUUCGCCUAGAAACAUGGCAUGCGCAAUUUGCCCAUCUCAUAAAAUUCCAUGCAGUUAAAACUGUGGUUAUUAGGCAAUUAAUACUUUGGUUUUGGUUCUGCUUACUCUCUGGAAAUGCUGCUUUCCAAAAGCAUAAAUGUGACAGGAAAUUUCUUCACUCCGUUUAUCCCUACGUAGCUUAAAUAUUAUUUCAUAAUUGCAAAUGGGCUUUUUCCCUCUUGUGCAGGCAGGCUAUGGCUGGUCUUCUCUGGAGUGUGGGUGUGACAAUAUGUUUAUUUCCAGGGUGACAGAGAGGUGCAAAUGAGUUCAUGGAUGGGAGAACCCUUUCUAAACUCCAAAACGUGAAUGCGGGGAGGCACCAUGGCCAUGGCAGUCCUGGACAGGCUUGCAGCUCUGGGAGGUCAAGUGCCCUCUGACACUUGAUGGGAGGAUGGGGUGACACCUAGACAGGGCUGUGGGAUGGAGCGAGGUCCUGGGAUACAGACCCCUAUUAGUACAGUGUAAGAAUCUGACAUGGAAAUGAUUUCACAAGACCAAGGUUUCUCCAUGUUCUCUAUUUCUCCUUUCCUUUGACAGUGUUGUCUCGUGAAUGCCCCUUUACCGUCUGCUAAAGGAGUGAGAUUUCGGUGAGCCCAGUUCCUCAACCUCAAAAUUCGAGGAAUUUGCAAACAGUCUCACGUGGCCCUGUCUCCAAGUCUCCUUGUGAACUCUCCCAUCCCACGGCUACACGUAUUUCUAGAAGAGCAAAUCUGUUUGGUGCACUGGAAAAUUCCGAUGCCAUUGGAGUCGUAUUCGUUCUUACCCUCAAACGUAAAUGUGCCCUGAGAGUCACUCAGGGACUCCUCAUAUGUACGGGAUGGCUUUGUAAGAGACUUAACAUGCAGAAAUCAGGGCAGAGGACUUUCAGUAGAGGCUUCUAGAUGCAUCUCUUUUCAUUCUCAGUCUGACCAAGUACUGGUUAAUUGAUCUAUUGAGGAGAAACCAAUUCACACACACUGAUACCUCCUUCCACUCCCGCUGGGGCCCGGGCUAACCCAGCCCCACCACUUCUGCCACCAAAUGAAAUAAAGUCCUUCAUGUUUUUCUCAUUUGUCUUAGAAAUCCAUCACCAGAGAAGGAACUCUGGCCACAUAAACCUUCCAUGUAGAAGAACAUGCCCACUAGGGUACUGCAGAAAUGGCAGAUCUCAUUACUCAGAGCAUAGACGAGGCAGAUGAUUUAAAAUAGCAAUCUUUUUGUGUAUUUCAACAAAUAUUUUAAUCUGGCCAGUAUCAAGAAUUCACUUUAAUGAGACCAAGUAUUUACAGAUCAAUUACUUUCUAUAAGGCAUUAGGAUGGGAGAAUAUAGAGUUGAUUAAAGACCCAAAGCCCCAGUAGAAAUGUAAAACCUGAUAUCUGAACAGUGUUUUAUAGACCAUUCUGCAUAGGCCAGGAUUUUCAUGUUCUCCCAGCCUCCUAGUGAGGCAGGCAAGUCUGUGCUCUUUUGUAGAAACCAAAGCACAAAGUGAAGACUCGACUUGCCUGAGAAUAUACAGGUUGUUUAUCACCCUAGUCCAAGGCAACGACCCUGGGUUCCUGCUUCUCAGAAUUUCCCUAAGGUCCUGGGUUGUAUUCCUAGGAAAAAAGGGCCUAGAAUUUAGAAUGCCUGGGGAUGACAAAUGGUGAAUGGAAAUGAAGAAGGAUAAAGUCCAAGAGAUCUCAACCUGGGAUGGUGUGAAAAGUGCACGGCCAGACAGUGGCCUGCGGAGGGAGAGUAUGCCAGCAAGUACAGCACCACCGGACAUGGCUCUGGGCAAGUCCCCCCUUUGCAAACCAGUCAGAGGGUAGCCGUCUAUGUGGACCCAGCCUGUGUUAUGUAUGUACCAGAUGUUCUUAGGACAUCCAAAUGUCUUCCCAGAAACCAAGAACUUUGGACAAACUCACCUGAGAUGCCGGAGGGUCAAGGGGUUGUAGCAGCUGAGGUUUCUGGUCAGGGAGCGUGGUCCUGGCUGCCUGGAAAGGCCAAUGAUUUGCCAUAGCUUUUGUUUCCGUGGCCAGCCUUCACAGACACUGUGGUCAUAAUCUGCUCGGCCCUUUAGAAUCUAUUAUCAAGGGCCACAGUAGACCAGUCAGAAUCCUUCCCUAAGAUCUCAAGAGGCGUAAUAAUAAAAAAUUGCAAAAGAAUGGAUCGGCAAGUAGAGCAAAAAUAGAGCUAAUGAACAGUCCACCCAGUUUUCUACGAAUUCUUCUUUCAUUUACAUAAAAGCAAACACCCGGAUGAACUCUUCCUGGUACACUACCCUCCAGCAUCCGAUGCACUUACAUAGAUGUUAGGGCAUGCUAUGCCAUCUUGGUAUUAGUAACUGCUAUUUUCUCUAUUUGAGUGACGAGACUCAGUGAAGUUAGUGUUUGACCCAAGCACGGUGGUGGUGAAGACUUUGAAUCCAAAACCUAUGCUUUUUCCAUCACACCAGUGGUCAUUCCAUGGUGCUCGAUGGGACUUGAGAGAAUCCACAGGUGUCAUUUUGGGAUGCUUCAAGCAUAGCGGUUUCAAGCGUAGUGGUUUUAGUUUCUACUUUAUUUUAUACACUGGAUUUCGUGUACAAUUUCAUUUGAGUCAAAGGUUCUGGGCAUAUGAAGGUACUGAAGUUCAUGAUUCUCCAGCUUUUAAUCUAACAUUUCCAAGUGAAUAAGCCUGAGGACCUUAGAUAAAUUAUUUUUAUAUCCACUUGAUCCUGGAGUGGUUGGAACCUUGGAUCGAUCUUUGUAGAUGUCCCUUUAGUAACCCGAGCCUCUUUUAUUUGUGGCAAACCAACCUGGGGCGGUACGACUGGAUUUGUGCUCUGGUUGUAACAUUGAAUCUUUGUGUGACCUUGAGCAAGUCACUUCCUCUCCCUGACCUCAGUUUCCUUAUCUGUAAAAUGAGGACAUUGACCUAGAUCAGCUUCCAGGCCUGACAUUGCAAGAAAGCUUGUGGGAGGCAUGGAGAAUGUUGCAGUCUUCAAAAAUAAAGUACCCAUGCUUACUGGCUAGCAGUCUGACAGUAGGGUUGCCAGAUUUAGCAAGUAAAAAUACAGGCCACUCAAUUCAAUUUGAAUUUCGCAUAGAUAACAUUUUUUUUUUUUUAGUGCAAGUAUAUUCCAUGCAAUAUUUGGGAUAUAAUUAUACUCAAAAAAGUACUUGUUGUAUAUCUGAAAUUCAAAUUUAUCUGAGUGCCUGGUAUUUUAUUUGGCAACCCUACCUCAGAGGUAUAUUGUCCUCUCUGUUCCUUUAGCAAAAAACUGAAACAAAUGAACAAGCUAAUGAACAACAACAAAAAUAAAACCUUGUUACAUUUUGUUCUUGUGAUCUUGGUGAAAUCUUCCUUUUUGAUCUUUCAACUUGUGACAUCACAGCACCCCAAAUAUUAAAUGCGAAAGGUGAAAACGAUACUAGUUCCAGUUUUUCCUUUAAUUUAACAUUUAUUGAUUGAUUUGUGUUUAAGAAACACAAUUCCGUGCUCGUAUAUCACAUUCUGUGUUUGCCUUGGGGAGAUUUUUUCCCCCGUGUCUGGUGAUCCAGCAAAUGGCUCUUGACUGGUGUGAGCCUCUCUUAUUCCUGCCUUAAACAUGUCCGUUUGGCCAAAACUCACCCUGGCAUUACAAGGAAUUCUGUUGGCUGUCUGAGUUCCCUUCAGACCUUAUUAUUUGUGUUUUAAUACACACACACACCCAAUCCAAACCUGCAUCUUUCACUUUUAAGCCAGUGAUUGCGUGUGGCUGGUGGUUUGGCGAUUGUGAAAUAGUCUUGAAAUAUCAGUGAGGAAAGUGUUCCUCCUGCAUUUGUGGCCCAACUCCCUGCAGGAGCUUCAGGUUUCCCUCUGUCUCCUUGGGCAGGAGAAAGCACCAACAUGGGGUGGCCGUGGGCCAGGGAAGCAAAGAGACUGGCAAGGCCGAGCUCCCUGUGUUCAUUCUUACUAUGUUUUCAGACGUCCUUUGCAAACAUUAUUUGGUUCUGUUGGGAAAUCACUUGUAUCCUGGAUAGAAUCGAUGGUACACCUGGGCACUGCCAAGCUCAUAGGUGGGGAGGGAGGGAGGACUAGCUGAGCAUCCAGCUGGAGGAUGACCCUCUACCCUGACCCUCGAUGUUCUGGACAUCUUUACACGGAUUUGAAUGAGGAGGUGAUGUGCGGAAGGAGGCACUAUGCCUGCGAAUCCAGAGACUUGCAUUUUCCUCCUGCGCCUGCCAGGGACUCAUGGCCAGACCUUGAGUCUCAGGGUCCGUCCAGUCACUGGGGGUCGGUUGAGCUGAUCUCUAAGAGAUGUUCCAGUCCUGCCUUUCUCAUUCAUUCAUUCAUUCAUUGUGCAACGCUUGUUCCUCUGAACACAAGUCCGGAAAUAGAAAAUUGUGCAACCUGGGGAGGACAGCAAGACCCUGAAAAGAACAUAAUUUUUUCCCAUUUGGAUUCACCCAGUGGGACUCUGAGAAAUCAAGGGUUUCUGCUUUGAAGUCAGAAACCACCUACCUUCAGCACUGUGGCCUGUGCUUCAAUUGACUCAGCUACAGAGUUUUAUCCCUUUUCCAACGUGGUAGAGGCUGAGCAACGAUGAUCUCUAGUAAACUACGUUACUCAUCUAUUGGGGGAUGUGCGGAAAUUCAUCUGCUUGCAACAGCCACGGGUGGAAUUGCCCAUCCUUCUUCUUCCCUCUGCCGGCCCUGGAAAGUCAGGCUUCAGCUGCCAAAGAGGCUCGCUGUGAGAGCUCACGUCUUCUGGAAACGGUGGCCUUGUGCAAUUUCUAUCUGGUGUGGAGGAAUGUAGGUAUUUAUAGGGCUGUGCUUUCCUCAGCGCUUUUAUGCUUCAACAGAGAGGAUCGCUCAAGCACGUCUUUGGGCUAUUUAAAGCUCACAGAGAGCGCUCUCCUUCCCAGUGCGCACACAUGUGCCCCGGAAUCUCAGUGGAACACUGCUUGAAUUUGAGUGGCUGUGUUUGACACUGAAUCACAGACUGAGUUCAUUACGCGCGAGACGAGAGGAGCUGGGCCCCCCUCCCCCGCCCCGCCUGUGGCUCACAAGUGAAGCCCACACGCAUGGGAGUAAGAAGUAGUCAUAAUGGUUAUGACGAACUGAUGCAGAAAGAGAAUCCAGCUCCCAGCCAGCAGCCAAAUCGCUUUCAUCCAGGCUGAUAUGUGCCGAAUAUGUGGUUGGCACUUCCACACGCACCCUCAUCUUACCCUCCCGUCAGCCCGGCGAGCUGGGUGGUGUUAUCAGCCUCCCUUGACUCAGAAGGUCACUCAGAGAAGUGACCUAGGUCAUGGUCACAAGUCAACCCAGGGUCCAGACUCCAAGCCCCUCAUUCUUUCCUCGAUGCCACCUCCAUCUACUCCUGGUGAAAAGAUAAGUGAAGAAAACUCUACCCCAAAACUACAUCCGUGAUUUCCAAGCAAGCUUCAUUUUCUCCAGUUCCCAGUGCAGCCACUCGAGAAUGACUUUGGUGUCACCUCUUAUGUUAGGAAACUGUGUG